rnacentral:rRNA from 1 species
AUGGCCCGCGGUGCAUUAGCUAGUUGGUAAGGUAAAGGCUUACCGAAGGCGAUGAUGCAUAGCCCGAGUUGAGAGACUGAUCGGGCCACAGUUGGGGACUGAGACACGGGGACCCAAACUCCGUACGGGGGGAGGGGCAGCAGUAGGGGGAAUCUUCCACAAUGGACGCAAGUCUGAUGGAGCAACGCCGCGUGAGUGAAGAAGGUUUUCGGAUCGUAAAGCUCUGUUGUUGGUGAAGAAGGAUAGAGGUAGUAACUGGCCUUUAUUUGACGGUAAUCAACCAGAAAGUCACGGCUAACUACGUGCCAGCAGCCGCGGUAAU